AUGCCAUGAUAUGUGCAUUUCCUUAGUAAUUUCUUAUACCUCUCUCAAGCAUCAGGUUCUGCUUCAUCAUCCAUUUGUCUAAAGAGACAAAUUUAAUUUCUGAACUU